rnacentral:rRNA from 1 species
CAGUCGCCGCGGUAAUACGUAGGGUGCAAGCGUUGUCCGGAAUUAUUGGGCGUAAAGAGCUCGUAGGCGGUCUGUCGCGUCGGCUGUGAAACCCUGAGGCUCAACCUCAGGCCUGCAGUCGAUACGGGCAGACUAGAGUGCAGUAGGGGAGACUGGAAUUCCUGGUGUAGCGGUGAAAUGCGCAGAUAUCAGGAGGAACACCGGUGGCGAAGGCAGGUCUCUGGGCCGCAACUGACGCUGAGGAGCGAAAGCAUGGGGAGCGAACAGGAUUAGAUACCCCCGUAGUCCCUGUCUCUUAUAA